AGUCGAGCGGUAGAGAGAAGCUUGCUUCUCUUGAGAGCGGCGGACGGGUGAGUAAUGCCUAGGAAUCUGCCUGGUAGUGGGGGAUAACGUUCGGAAACGGACGCUAAUACCGCAUACGUCCUACGGGAGAAAGCAGGGGACCUUCGGGCCUUGCGCUAUCAGAUGAGCCUAGGUCGGAUUAGCUAGUUGGUGGGGUAAUGGCUCACCAAGGCGACGAUCCGUAACUGGUCUGAGAGGAUGAUCAGUCACACUGGAACUGAGACACGGUCCAGACUCCUACGGGAGGCAGCAGUGGGGAAUAUUGGACAAUGGGCGAAAGCCUGAUCCAGCCAUGCCGCGUGUGUGAAGAAGGUCUUCGGAUUGUAAAGCACUUUAAGUUGGGAGGAAGGGUUGUAGAUUAAUACUCUGCAAUUUUGACGUUACCGACAGAAUAAGCACCGGCUAACUCUGUGCCAGCAGCCGCGGUAAUACAGAGGGUGCAAGCGUUAAUCGGAAUUACUGGGCGUAAAGCGCGCGUAGGUGGUUUGUUAAGUUGGAUGUGAAAUCCCCGGGCUCAACCUGGGAACUGCUUCAAAACUGACUGACUAGAGUAUGGUAGAGGGUGGUGGAAUUUCCUGUGUAGCGGUGAAAUGCGUA
rnacentral:rRNA from 1 species